UUGCCCAGCCACAGCUGAAGCUAGGUUUGGCUGGGAUUUUGGCAGAAGUGAGCUGUGAGGAUAGUUUUGAAGGAGGAGAAAGGAGUGGCUCUUCAGAUUUUAUCAGGAUGGUUUUCCCAGGCUUAAAAGAAAGCUGGGCAGAAUGUGAGUCUGAGCUUUGGGAAGGAGCUGACAGCAGGAUUACAGAGCCUGGUGGGGCAAAGGUUGCAGGCUGGCCAUGUGUAGAUGGCUGGAGGGGGAGUGACAAGGAAGCUGAAGUGAUGCAGUCCCAGACUCUGGCCCCCACCAAAAGAUGCAGCUCCCGAGGCUCCAAUUUGAGCAGUGGACCCCCAGCUCUGCAGGAGCACUCUCUGCUGAGACACACAGCCCCAAAGGAGCCCUGUGCCUGCCCUUGCUCCCGGGUGGCUGGCACAGACGGGCAUCUCCAGCAGCCUGAAUUCCAGCUCCUGGCUCUGCCAUCCCGCUGGCUGGCAGCAGCACAUUUGCACGAGGAGCCGGUGGGUACAGAGACACUCACUGGCACUGGACUGUGAACCUCCCUCCCAAGCCAGGACACCUGCAGGAGGAGGAAAGCUCUGCUGGCCUGUUCAGGGAGUAAAGCACGACAGCAUUUACACCUCAGUUGGUCUUUCCUGUGUUGUGGGGUGGGAUUGGGCAGGACAAGGGCUUCCAAUGGGGUGUCCUGCCUGUGGGACAGCCCUUCACGAGGAGCAGCAGAGCUACUGAGGCAGCUGAAUUCGAUGUUCCUUGUAGGUCCCUUCCAAAUGAAUUAUUUAAAUCUACUUCUGUUGUCACCAUCCAUCACCCAGAACCACAGAGUUUUGCCUGUAGCAGUCAAAUGCCUUCAUAUGAAGCCCUGUGUGGUCCAAGGAGUUGUGUUAUCCCCUACCACAUCACAUGUGGAGAGUGUGAGAAGCCAGCAAAAAGGCAGUAAGGAAAGGGAGCCAGGAAGGGAUUUGAAGGGAGUCUGCUGAGAUGCCCAGGGAUCCCUCAGAAGCAGGAGGAGCUACAGCAGCUCUCCUGAGCCAGGAAGGGCACUGAAGCUGUUCACCUGACUACUGAUGGUCCUCAUUUUCCCUAAUCUACUCUUGAGAGCCCUCUAAAAGCCCCAGCUCUUCACUCUGGGGAACACAUGAAAUGUGAGAUGUAUUAGAUGUGUUCAGCAAUGGCAGCAAACUUAGAGAAAACAGGAAAAUCAACAGCAACAACAACAAAAAAGGUACCUUGAAAUUUGGCAGAAAAAAAUGCAGUGCAAACCCCACAAGAACGUGAGUAUCUUUGCACAAAGCCACUUAUGGAUGCAUUCCUUAAAGGUAAUCCCUUCAGACAGUGUGAGGCUGCCAUUCUUUGAAAGAUAUUAAAGCAGCUGUUGCUAGAACACAGAGAAUUACUGAGCUAUCUGUCAAGGGAUGGACAUUUGUAAUGCUAUAUCUACCUUUUUUUGUUUUUAAUUUACAGUUUAUUUUGAUACCAAAUUUCCAGCUAGUGAAGGUAAUUGAGACUGCAAACAAAAUCUCACUAUCCACUGAUCUGCCAAAUCAAAUUUUUUCUCCUGUAAGUAUAGUGCUUUUCCUUAGCUUCAGAGAGGAAAAGAAUUAUGCAGAAUGAAUGAGAAAGAAAAGGGGUUAGUUUAGGAAGGGAUUAGUUUAUAUAAUGACCAUAGCAGCCAUCUCUCUGUUUAUCUGUCAUAGUUCAUUCCCAAAGAUGUGAAUUAUUAUCAUUGUAAUUUAGAACAGAGCUUGUCCAUUUUCCUUCUGCUGCAUCUGCUUACCACUCUCCAAAUUAACACAUAUUUUAAUAAAAAUUAAAUAUCCUGACUAUAGCUGGGAUAUUGGAUGACCCCAGCUGGGAUAUGGAUGCAGUAAGAUUCUUAUCAUCUUUGUGUUGCCCUUCUGGAAUGACUCUGCACUGCCCUAGUCCUCCAAAGGAAUUAAAGUAGCCAUGAGGCUAUUUUGAUGACUUUUGGCUACCAGAGACCUCAAAAGAGGACAUCUAAGGCAGUAAAUCAGUAGCUGUGUGUCUCCUGUGCUGUUUUCAAGUUGUGUGGUGUUUCUGAGGGGUGUCUAGGAGCUCUCUGUCACUGGAGCAUCUCCCUGCUCCAUGAUGUCCUCCCACACCAGCACUGGGGCUGGGUGGGUGUCACAGCAGGAAUGGGCAAAGGGAGCUGAGCUUCCCUCGUGGCCUUUUCCCUAGUCAAUGUCAGAAAACAGAAUAGUUCUAAAGAUCUUUAAAAUGACAUUGGAUUUUUGCUCUCCUUGGGGACUACUUGCACUCCCAUGCACCACUCCCACCUGUCUGGUUCUCCUGUACUAUGGUAAUCAAAUUUGAUGCCAGCAUGGCAACUGGGCUUUCCUCCUUCUCUCUCCUGUCUGCACUGAGAUUUUCACUGGUCUCAGCUCUUACAGAGAGGUGUUUUUCAAUCUAAGUGUUGAAGAGUAACUAUUUCAUAUGCUUGUUCUCCUGAAGUUGCUUUAACAAUUUUGUAGCUCCAAGGUGAGCCAAUUCACCCCUAAAAUUCAGGUAUUCACACCUCAUCACUCCAGCAGGAUGCUCCUCCAAGGUGGGAAAGCAGCCCUGAGGUGACAGCUCUGCAGCACUUUGGGGGACUCAGGGUUUGUGAAAAUAAGCACCACUGAAUGAAGAUGAAAGAGAAACGUUGCUGGUUUCUUCUCUGGAGAUCGUAUUUCUUACUUGUUGCAUAACUGCUUAUUUUAGCAUCAAUCAGCCAAGCCUUUGUUGUGCAGACAAUUCUGUCCUUUUAAAGGAUUUGUGCAGUAUUGUUUCUUCCAAAAUGCUUUUUUUUUGUUGUUUUUAUUAUUAGAUUUAUUUCCUCUCUUAGCAAAUGCCAACUGACAACACCCUGCAACACCCUGUCAGAGCUCUUCAUAAGUGUUACAUAAAUGUCAUACUAUGUAAACUGAGUGUUGUAUAUAACAUAUACAUGACCUUUCUGGAGAGCUAUCCAUCAGGUGCUCUGUGUGUCACGCUUAUGCAUUUGUACACAAACUGUGUUUAAGUGUGCAUAUAUGGUAGCCAAAAUCUCUUAAGGGGAGAACCCAAAAGCAGAAAUGUCCGAAGUCUUGUCAGUGCAACUUCAUCUACACACAUUUGCUGAAGCAGAACAAGACUUCAGUUGCAUGUCCAGAUACUCUUUUCCUUCUGCAUGGCUGUGUGUGCAGUGAGGUGGUCAGCAAGGGGCUCAGCAAUGCCUAUUGUUCAGCACAUGAGCCUAGGCAGAGCACAUCAUCCGGAGCAUUAUUCACAUGUCUGACCACUUUUGGAUUUCACAGCAGUAGAAAAUACAGCUCCGAUAUUUCUCCACGCAGUUUUCAAAGCAGAGCAAGGUGCUCAUGUUCUGGAUGGUAAAAAUCUACUGAGGUUGCAACCAGGCAUGCUGUGGACCUGCCAUGCCCUGCCGUGACCUUCUUUAGAGGUGUACUCCAGAAAUCCUGGAGAAAUGACCCAGAGGGUGGUAAGGCUGUAGCAUGCUGCCCAGGACCAGAGCAGGGACCUGCAGGUUCCUCAAAAGAGAGAAUUAUUAAUUUCCUCAUGGCUUUUUCUAUAGCGCUUCCCACCAGACUGCCUCAGUGCUUCAGCACCUUCAUUAAUCCUCCCCAAGCACUCAUUCUGAAGAUGGGUCAGAGUGACACAUGGAUGGAUUAAGGUCAAUUUUGACUAAUUCAGGGUACUCCAUCUGAAAAGCAUAACGUCUGCGGUUUCAGAGCAUUUAACAUGAUACAGCACUUCAUACAUGCAAGCACAGCACCCACUGCUUCCAGCUGCACAAAGAUGGAUGUCAGCAAUUCAGGCUAAAGGCUUCCAGCCACGCACCACAGUGUGGGCAAUACAGCCAUCAGCAGCCAAAAGUUUGGGUUAAUGACUUGUAGUGUUACACAGCCUGUGGCAAGGACACGAAAGAAUCUGCUUCUUUAGGAGAGUUCUGUCCUUUUGUCACAGUCUGCCUGGGUCCUGCAGCCCUGGCAUCUGCUCCUUGGGCAGUCUUUGGUUAUGGAGGUAAGAUGGCCAAAAUUUGUUUCCUUUUUGACUUACAGAGCAGGUCCGUGCUGUGCAGGUGUCACAGAGAAAUCAGAUUGUGACAGUGUAACUAAGAAUUGCAUUAGAGUAUGUGUGCACAAGAAAAUCUCCAGAAAUUGGUAUGGAAUGCCUCACUUUGGACACCUCUCAUGUCUGGACCAGGUAACACAGUGACCUUCACAACAUCCCUUAAGGCAGACUGUGCUGUAGAUGAGGUGGGAUCUGUAGGUGAAGUCCUGUCAGGGUAUGAAAGACAGGGGCUGUGCUCAUGAAUCCCAUUGCUCUUGUGAUCCAAGGAAACGCUUUUUAGUCAGUAGCUGAUGUUUCCUGCUCCCUGGGGGCUGCUGAGAGGGCUCUGAGCACCUGAAGCAGCAGGUGCCCCAAGAGCAGCAUUUUGAGAGAUUUCAGCUGCCAGAACUGGGCAUGUUUAUUGCUGUGUGGUGAACUGCUCUUCAAAACACAGUAACACGACUAAUUUGGGUGGAUUUAUCUAAAAGCCCAUAAAAGGCUGCUUCAUGCCAAAUUUCAAGACCUUAUUUCCAGUGUUAGCCCUAAGAACCACAGCAAGCAAGAAUGACCAAAGUGAUGCUCUUCCCCUACUCUGCUUUCAUCCUUGGAAGUGCCAAAGGACUUGGAACGUUUGGAAAACAUCCAACACAGACUGCCAAGGCAGAAAGUUACAGCCUAAUUCAUUCAAGUUUGGUAAUUUAUAACAAGCCACAACAGGGAUGUAAGUUGGGGAGCAUCUGGCUAUUGUAGCUCUGGUUCCUAAUGGUUUAUAAUUGGUAAAUCACAGUUUUAGGGCUGACCAGCUUAAUGAAUCGAAAGAGAUGAUGGCAGAUUGUCACUGAAAGAGUCUUUACCUUGAAUUUUAAUCUUCUGCAGCAAUGGUUUAAAACAGUGCAAGCCAACUUCUGUAGGGCCCCUGGGAGUUGGGGUAGAUGUAUGCUGUACAUCCAAUUAUUAUUAUUAUUAUUUUAAUUUAAGAAGCCGUUUCCAUCCCGAAAGCACUGCUGUCGUUGUUUUUAAUCCUGUGUUAAACAGCUGGCAACAGGCAGCCCUGAGCCACCCAGAGCCCAAAGCACUCGUGUGGGGAUCGCGCAGCAGGGUCACCCCGCGCGGAGAGCGCGGCAGCCGCGCCGCUCCGCACCUCUCCGCGGAAACUCUGCGAAGUUUUUUUGGGGGAACACGCACAUGCACACACACGCACGGGCCGGGGGGGGCUCU